AUGACCGAUAGGGAACAAGUAGAGUGAUCGAAAGAUGAAAAGCACUUUGGAAAGAGAGUCAAACAGCACGUGAAAUUGUUGAAAGGGAAGCGCUUGCAGCCAGACUUGCUUACAGUUGCUCAUCCGGGUUUCUACCCGGUGCACUCUUCUGUAGGCAGGCCAGCAUCAGUUUGGGCGGUAGGAUAAAGGUCUCUGUCACGUACCUCCUUUCGGGGAGGCCUUAUAGGGGAGACGACAUACUACCAGCCUGGACUGAGGUCCGCGCAUCUGCUAGGAUGCUGGCGAAUGAUG
rnacentral:rRNA from 1 species